UCUCUGGAAAUGGCAAUUUUCCUCCUUCGCAAAAACCUCGUGUUGGAUUACAGCAUUGCCUGAUUUCCUCACGGAUAUUCUCUACUAUCUCAUCUUCAUUGUUUGGCCAGCUCGGAUGUGGACAUUGCAGCUAAGGAACAUAAGGAAAAAAUAUGUGGCUUAUUUAUCAAUCACAAGGAAAAAACACAACUUUUAAAUGAACCCAGGGUUUCUCUAGCGACUGAAGUAUGUUGUCCUCGACUUGGUUCCCAAACAUCCUGUAGCCUAUAAGAGCAACGGGGAAGUAACACAAUGCAACAACGAAGUAGGCAACAAGCACACCUUUCCACAUGGGCUUCUUUGAGGGCUUCUCUUUUGUUGACGGAAUAGUUGCCUGAAUCUCCAGCACCACAUUGUGACCGGCAUAGGCAAACGCCACCUCCCCCAGGGCGGUGAAGAAGUCAAAAACUUUUCCAGCUCUGCUGGAUGCUGGAUAGCUGUACUCAACUCCCUUUUGGACUCCCUUGUGAAUGGAAGCUGUCCAUGCUAUCGUAGAGUAACUGUUUAUUUGGAAACGAAACUGCAGCUAAAGAUAUCCCAGAGAUUGAGUUGAAGUUUGGCAAAUGGGAGAGAACAAAAUGGGCAGAAGCGAAUAUCAUUAUGAAGUAAGUAGUUUUGAUAUCCUUACAGCUUCCACAUACAGUUUUGUGGAAUUUCUUCAGCGAUUUGCCUCCAGUUACCAUGUAAACUAUAUUGACACCAACUUCAACGACUAACUGCUGAGGUACUACGAUGUAAAGGCCAAGCUUUUCACCAAAUGCGUGCUGGCCAAGUUCAUGGUAUCGAUCAAAACGUUUUCCUGGUACCAUCUCAUGCAUCUCAACCAUUUGCCACAAAGUGUAUAAUGUGAUGAUCCAUGAGAGAAUUAGAAUGGCAACUCCUGGUCCCCUAAAGUCACAAGUUAUGGAAUAAGGAAUAGGUUUUGAUGGGAGAAAUGAAAAUAUAAAGGAGCAAUAUAUUGAUAGGUUCCUGAACUUUCAUUUUUUUAAACUUUCUAUUUUUUUGUAAUGGGAUGCUAAAACUUUCAUUGGUUCAGUUGGAUCCUUGUCUAGUGAUCCAAUUUAACCAAAUGAAAGCUUGGGACUAAAUAUAGCAUAACGCAAAGCUUAAGCUUUACCGAAACAAACAAAUUUGUCCUCAAGUUGAAGGCAUGCUUACCAUCCCAGAGCUGCCAUGGCAUAAGGAAGACUUAGGACACCUGCUCCAACCAUGGCUGUAACAUUGUGGAAAGCUGAGUACCACCAUUUUGCGUUCCGUGAUGAAGUAAUUGGAAGCCAGUCAUCUAUUGCCUUUUGCUCCACUGACCGGUAAUCUUCCUAUAAUUAGCAAUACGAAACAUUCAGACCAUGUAAUGGAACUAGAGUAUAAAGAUGUUCUGUUAAGUAUGGAAAUGUUGAAAUGGUUGGUGUUAGAACUUUCUCCACACAGUUCUCUCUAUAUCAGUUAGUGCCUUA